rnacentral:rRNA from 1 species
UAACAGGAUUCCCCUAGUAACUGCGAGUGAAGCGGGAAAAGCUCAAAUUUAAAAUCUGGUGGUCUUUGGCCAUCCGAGUUGUAAUCUAGAGAAGUGUUAUCCGCGCUGGCCCGUGUACAAGUCCCCUGGAAUGGGGCGUCAUAGAGGGUGAGAAUCCCGUCUUUGACACGGACUACCAGGGCUUUGUGAUGCACUCUCAAAGAGUCGAGUUGUUUGGGAAUGCAGCUCAAAAUGGGUGGUAAAUUCCAUCUAAAGCUAAAUAUUGGCGAGAGACCGAUAGCGAACAAGUACCGUGAGGGAAAGAUGAAAAGAACUUUGGAAAGAGAGUUAAACAGUACGUGAAAUUGUUGAAAGGGAAACGCUUGAAGUCAGUCGCGUCAGUCAGGGAUCAACCUUACUUUUGUGAGGCGUACUUCCUGGUUGAUGGGUCAGCAUCAGUUUUGGCUGCUGGAUAAAGGUCAGAGAAAUGUGGCACCUCCGGGUGUGUUAUAGUCUCUGAUCAGAUACAGUGGCUGGGACUGAGGAACUCAGCACGCCGCAAGGCCGGGGUUCGCCCACGUUCGUGCUUAGGAUGCUGGCAAAAUGGCUUUAAUCGACCCGUCUUGAAACACGGACCAAGGAGUCUAACAUGCCUGCGAGUGUUUGGGUGGAAAACCCGAGCGCGCAAUGAAAGUGAAAGUUGGGAUCCCUGUCGCGGGGAGCACCGACGCCCAUACCUGAAGUUUACGGACGGAUAUGCGGUUGAGCAUGCAUGUUGGGACCCGAAAGAUGGUGAACUAUGCCUGAAUAGGGCGAAGCCAGAGGAAACUCUGGUGAAGGCUCGUAGCGAUUCUGACGUGCAAAUCGAUCGUCGAAUUUGGGUAUAGGGGCGAAAGACUAAUCGAACCA